UCGCGCCUUGUGUUUCACAUUGUCAUUGUAAUAAGAGGCCGGCAGCGGGACGUGAAUUUUACAUGGAGAAACGGGAAGCAGUUACGUCCUGGAAGAUUUACAUCUCUCGUCAUCCCACGUUACACGUCACUGCAGCUGUAUAACAAUAACUAUUCCUGCCAAGAGUACAGUUCGGGACGUAAUGGAUUUUACAAGAAUGAAAACACUAGUGGACAAAGAAAUAAUUAUUGACAAUUUCUUAAAAUUAAAUGACAAAUAACCUAGAAUUACCUGACGCUCGACGAAGAAAAUUUCCCACGCGCGUAAAUCCAAGACAGUGAGAUAUCUAUUUUUUAAAAAAAAGACAGCAUCGUCUGCAACAAGCCACGCAUUCUUGGAAGAGGAAAGAGUGCAGAUCGAUGGUAUGCGAAUGACAACUGCGAAGACACGCGGUAUGCCGUGCGAAACUGACAGAUUCCCACAUAGAUUCCAUGGUACCCAAAGACCCUAGCGGAGGAACUCGAAAGCGCCCACCGACAUCCAUCUUGAUAUCUUUACGACACUUAUCCGUUAUUUUAAAAAAGCCCGUAGGCUUCUCGGUCAUGGGGAUCGCGACUCAUCCUCGGUAAAUGCAAGUUCCUUUUGAUACGUAGAUACAGCCUGGAGGUUCGAAAGAUCGCGCGAGAUCAACAUCGAGUUCUCGUUAUUAACUAAAAUAACACCGAAGUAGGUCUUCUCGCUGCGUUAAAGUAUGACACUGUAUGACGCAACAGAUCUGCGUUAGGUUUAUUUAUCGUUUACUAUGGGAUCUAACAGGAAUGGUCAUACCUUACAAGGUUGACUAGCUAUAGAUGGUUUCAUUUUACGAGCAUACCAACGAGAAAUGCACGGCUGCGCUAUCGAUGGGAACAGUGUGUAGUCCAUUGUAAACUGCGUACCGGACCCAGGGACUUUUAGGUUAGCCUGACAGAAAACGGUUACGAGGACGCGGUGGCUUGUCUGCUAAUAAAGAAACUAGGACUCAAAAGGAAGGUCACCAAAGUCAAACAACCAAUGAACUCCGAAGCGGCUAUAUGUCGUAAAGCCUCAAGAAAAACAUACAAGCCGUCACUACUCCUCCCCCAGCGGGCGAUAUCCACGAAAAGUAUCCAUAAAUAUCUAAUAUCCAAAAAAACUGACUGAUAACGUUCCAAAGACCAUGUCCCCUGUAGGAAUUCAAUAGACCAGACCACCAAAUCUCCUAUCCAUAAAAGCAAAGUGCAAAUCAUGAAAGGACUGUUCCCACAAUGUCUACUGCACUCGCAGCCAGCGAGUACGGAAGUUAGCAUCAACACAAGAAAUACGCAAUCCAGUCCAAGCAUCAGAAAGAAAGUAAAUAUAGGAGUGACCUGUAUGAAGGAGGUGAGCCGAAUAUUUUAUUAGUCGGCGCCAUUGGGGUUGGCCUUCUUUACAGUGAAGUCACCGAGUGACUACGUACCAGAGAGGAGAAUGUAUAAAAAACGUGACGGCAGGAAUCUACGUACACGCAUUAUUGUAUGUGUCUACGCGGGAGCAAUGACAGACAUGCAUAUAUAUAUAUAUAUAUAUAUAUAUAGCUAAAUAAAUUUGAUUAGACAUCCUUGAAUAAACUAAUAUAAUUCGAUAUCGUUUAUUCCCAGAUCAAAAACAUAUAUAUAAAAGUUUGUUAUAUAUAUAUAGAAUUCCAUGAAGAUGACGUAUAUAUGGAUAAAACUCUACGUAUUCGACGGAUGUGGACCGAGAGGAGUAAUUCGUCUGUACGGGAUGUGCGUACAAGAUUAAAAUCCGUACAAUAACCUUUCCUUGGUGUACGCAGCUUAUUUUAGCCGAUUGUAAAACCUCGUGAAAAGCAAACCUAUGUGAAAUUUAGUUAUCGAUCUAGGAGAAGGUCACUCCUGUUCUGUCUAAUUUGAUACAGCGUCAUUUAUCACCUGUACACAUAUGUAUAGACAUGCGUACGAUACCACGUAUUAUCUUGUUUCGAAGAAGCUUUAUUAUUACUUUUUCUUCAUCGUACCAGUUUACAAUUUUUCUUCGGUGCCAGAGUCCCGCAUUACAAUUACACCUACUUUUGGUAUCGUGGCAGAGGUGAUAAGGAUCAAAGAGACUACUGCGCGUUAUCUUCGAAUUCUUCAUAAAAGUCAGCGAAGGCUUUACGUAUUCUAGUGGAUCGAGGCGAUAUCAUUUAGCAAUAUAAUUGUAAAAAUAUUUGAAAAAAUUUCUAUCGCUCUCCUAGGAUUUUCAUUAUCGGCCGAUGUUCAUUGACGUAGGUCGAAAAAAAAAGUAUUAUCUCGACUUAAAAUCUUAUAUUUACCAUAACGAUAUGACAUUGUUG